GUGGGGACAAGGGGGUAAGGAUUUAGCAGAACGUUGAGAGAGGAGUUUUAACAUUAGUUUUUAUAAAGGGACCCAAGGGAGAAAGAACUAAUGGAAAGAAAUGGAGAUUAUUUCUGGCCAUCUAUUCUCUGCCCAAUCACUUGGACUAGAUUUAAGCUCUUUAUGACAAAUGACACAGGAGCAGAAGAGAGGUUGCUAUUUCUGGGAGACUCUGGGCAGAAAUAUUGCUGUUUCUGGACUGGGGUGACACAAGGCAAUACAGAGUUGAAGAGAUGUUAAUUCCUCCUUGACUGCACAGAACUCAGCACAUCUCCAGCCCUGCAAGGAUGAGAAGCUAUGGGUGCAUACCUGGACAGCAUUCUUCGUAUGUAGACACCGUGUUUUUAUGAUAUUCCCAGUAUGUGCUUUGCCACCACUCACAUGGGUGCUACGCUUCUACACCUUCAUAGAGGAGACAGAACAAGAAAGAAAGGAUUUGAUGGAUGCCUCUGGCACUGCAGAUGAUGACAGGCUCCAGGAAUGGGCCUUGGUCCCAAGGCUGAUAUAUUACAACCCUGUGGCGAGGGCUGAAGUCUUGAGAUGGGCAAGGCCUGUAUGACAGUUCAGGGGACUUUGUUGGAAUGGUUGAAAAGAGAAAGUCUCAUUCUGCUUAGUUGUAAGGAUGCAAGAUGAGAAAUGCUUGGAGUUACCAACAGAAACUGGAGAAUGAAAAUGACACAGAAGAGCAGAACUGAGGAAUGGGAAGAAAUAGUUUUCAGCAACAGAAAGAAUUACAGAACUACAACCAAGAGAAAAAGGUAAACUAGAGCCAUGAACCCAGCUUUGUGGACAAUCUUCCCCUAACGACAUCUGGAAGUUCUAGCAGAGAUGCUUAAGAAGAUGAGCAGAACUUUCAACAGUCCACGUGGCUGGGGAAAUGAGAACUGGAUAUGAGAGCAGGCUCAUGUGGAAGAAAAAAGGUCAAACUCACAGAUAUUUAGAUUGAGACACCAAAGGUCUAUCCAUAGGAAUGAGGAGUAAAGAUAAGAAAUAAACUGAUCCUCAGAAGGACCGAAGACCAUCUAAAACGACUUCAUUACUGAGAUGUUGGAAUCCUUGGCUGCCUUUUGGAGGAGGAAAGAACCAAAUAAACGAGUUUUACUCACUACUUCUAGGACUUGAUUUAUCUAUACGUUAACCCUGUUCACUUCAGUCCUGUGUUUCUUUGAUUUUCUUCUAUUAUUUGCCAUUCUUUGAUCUCUAUUUUAUCUUAUGUUUCUAAUCUGCUAUUAAUCAUCCUUAAUUUCACUUACUGUAUAUUUCAAGCCUUGAAACUAAUAUCUUUAAGUGGUUUCAACCCUCUCUGAAACUUCCCAAUCUCAUCAUAUAUUUUGAGACACACAUUAAUACCAUUAUUUUAAUAUCUUUGAUGACUCCAUUAUCUGGAUAUCCUAUUCAUAAGUUUAUAUUUUUUGUGGUUUUUCUUGAUUGUCAAGCAUCACAAACAAAAACUACAGAAAUUACUUAAGGUAUAGGAUGGUGAAACCAUUAUCAAGCUGAGGAUUUAAUAACCACUACAAACUGCAAUCAUAAUAAAUGCAAUGUAGACAGUUUUUAGAGUAAGACCACUGAAAGCUAAUGACAAAGAAAAUUUUAAAGUCAGACGGACAAAAAAGAAAACAUAUAGCACACUUAACUUUGUAUGAACCUAAUAGAAUCCCUUCUGAGGCAAGAGUUUACAGAGCUAAAAGAACAGGGGGGGGGGUUAGCACACGUCUCUCAUUCCCUCAUAAAGCCCUAGACAUAAAAAUCAGUAAAGAUAGAGAAGAUUUGAAUGACAUGGUGUAACAAUUAGAUCUAACAACGAUAUCAUUAUUCUGCUCCAUAACUCACUGAAGCAGGUCCUGUUAUUUACAUCCCUUUUAUUUCAAUGAAAAAAAGAAAAAAGAAAUGGCUGAAACAAGUGAAUGCAUGAGAUUGCUCAGGUAUCUGUAAUUACCCCAUGAAAAAGCAGGGAAGCCAAUCAGAAGCCUCUCUCUGUUUUGUUUUGUUUUGUUUUGUUUUUCUUUUUUGCUGGAGCCAUUGUUAAAAUUGCUCUCUUUCUCUGGAAUUAGGGGUUGUGAAGACAAUGCAAGCGGGAGCACCUUGCAGCCAUGUUCCCAGUCACUAGGGGAACGCUUUCUGCCUUGGAAAGAAUGAGGCCAAUGAAGAAGGAGAAGUAUGGCUCAAAGAAGGCUAGAGGGGUCUCAAGUGAAGUUGAAGCCCCUAAAUUCAGCCAUUGUGUAGAAAGUCCUACCUUGCUUAUGUUUGUGACAUGAUCUUGUAAAUAGGCAUUUAGACCUAUUAGUUCUCUAGUAUACCAACAAUGUGUGAUGUGCUUGCACAUUUGUGGCCUCCUUGAAAUAAAACUAUUGCUCUUCCUCUAAAACAUA